rnacentral:rRNA from 1 species
AUGCAAGUCGAACGAAGUAGCAAUACUUAGUGGCAGACGGGUGAGUAACAUGUAGGUAUCUACCCUAUGGCCUGGAAUAACACGAGGAAACUUGUGCUAAUACCGGAUAAGUCUUUACGGAGAAAGCUUUAUGCACCAUUGGAUGAGCCUGCACUUGAUUAGUUUGUUGGUAGGGUAAUGGCCUACCAAGACUGUGAUCAAUAGCUGAUUUGAGAGGAUGAUCAGCCACAUCGGGACUGAGACACGGCCCAAACUCCUACGGGAGGCAGCAGUGGGGAAUCUUGCACAAUGGAGGAAACUCUGAUGCAGCGAUGCCGCGUGAGUGAAGAAGGCCCUUGGGUUGUAAAGCUCUUUCGUCGGGGAAGAAAAUGACUGUACCCGAAUAAGAAGGUCCGGCUAACUUCGUGCCAGCAGCCGCGGUAAUACGAAGGGACCUAGCGUAGUUCGGAAUUACUGGGCUUAAAGAGUUCGUAGGUGGUUGAAAAAGUUGGUGGUGAAAUCCCAGAGCUUAACUCUGGAACUGCCAUCAAAACUUUUCAGCUAGAGUUUGAUAGAGGAAAGCAGAAUUUCUAGUGUAGAGGUGAAAUUCGUAGAUAUUAGAAAGAAUACCAAUUGCGAAGGCAGCUUUCUGGAUCAUUACUGACACUGAGGAACGAAAGCAUGGGUAGCGAAGAGGAUUAGAUACCCUCGUAGUCCAUGCUGUAAACGAUGUGUGUUAGACGUUGAAAUUUAUUUUCAGUGUCGCAGC